ensembl:lincRNA
AAGCUGGGCACUCAUGACUCGCUCAUGAUGCGAAUGGCUAUCGAAAGACAUAAUGUUGUCUAUGGGGAUCUCGCAGCGAGGGGCAGCGGCACCCGAAGAGAAGAUUGAUCCGUGGCUUUGGGGCCCUGCCAGGGUCGCUGCAGGGUAGUGCAUGGGUAUGCUACAGGAGCGUUAUUGGAGAGCAGUGGGAGUUAUGGCUCAGGGUAUGUGACUGAAGGACCAGGGAGUUUUGAAAAGAAAAACUACACCUGGAUAUUCCCGGGGACUUGAAGUAAGAUCUCUCUUUCCUGAAUGUCCAUGCUUUGCUGCAUUCUAAUGUGGCCCUGAUUCUAAGUCUGAGUCACAAACACCAAGGGUCCCAGCAAGUGUCCUCCGAGCUCCGGGGAAGCAGUGUGUGCCUAAUAAGGAUGGGGGUUAAGUAUUUUUGGUUUGUGAAAGUAUGUGUGUGUUGGGGGAAGGCGCAAGACUGCGAGACAGGGUAAGGGGGGGGCGGCACCUGAACUGCACCCAGCUGAUAUGCAGAACGCUCGGUGGAGUCCGGCGCUGGGGCCCAUGACCCUGGCCGGCUGCCUUGUUCUUAUGCGCUGGUGUGUCUGCUGGGACAGUGGCUAUUUCCCAGUUAUCUCCGCUUGCCUGGCGGGUGACCGCACUCCCCCAACUUUGGCCCCACCAGGCUCCCUAGGCAGACGGGCGGCACGCGAGCUGCACGCGCAGGCAACAAAAGCUGCUUUUCAUGACUCAGUGCCCUCGAGCAAUGCCCUAAAUCUGCCACCCCGCCGGGUCCUAGUCCCCAGCGCCUCACUGGACCCGCGUCGGGGGCCGUUACAGCCCCAGCCCUGAAGCCAGGGAAGCAGAGGCCUAAGGGAGGAAUAGGGGAGGGGAGAGGACAGAGCAGUGUGGCCUGCCAUGGGGCAGGGGCGCAUUCACAGAGCUAAGAUAAAGAGCUGGGUCAUGGCCUGCAGCGUCCCGGGUGGUGACCUGUUUUUCUCAGAAACAGAUGCUUACUUUCCAUGAAAGGACCCAGUAUGUCUGUGGCUGCCCCACCAACUCCGAUCAUCUCCCAAGCCUCUUCCCACAGAGCCUGGAGUUAGGUGGCCCUACCUGGAUAGGUUCACACCCUCCCUCAGGAGCCCACUGGUACUCAGCAUAGUUCUUGGAGAUCUUGGGGUGCAGUGGGUCGCUAGAGCCAGCAGCUGAGAACUAAUGCCCCCUCUUAGGCGAGGGUAACUGCAAGAGGAUACUUAGAGGAUACUUGCCUUAGAAGGCAAGAGGAUACUGGUUCUGACAAGACUACUGGGGUGGUUUGGCUUUGCUUCUUCCCCUCUCAGGAGGCGGUUGAACUCCCGGGUCCUGGCCAGAAGCUGGAAUUGCCCCGACUAGACAGGCAGGCGACAGGAGAGAGCCAGGAGCAAAAGAGACGCUAUUAAAAUGCCUCGCUAUCGCCCGGAGCGCAAAACCCGUUCUCCCCAAAUCUCCUGGGCUUGCGGCAUAAUCUUAAUUAAGAUAAUUGAUUCAUAUUGCACCUGCGAGAACGAAAAAAAAAUUGAUUCCAACCCCCAACUCCACAAAUUGCUUAAAGCUAUUGGAUGGAGGACGGCAAGGCUGUGAUUUGGGGAGUGAUUUAGUGCAGGGCUUCCCCAGCUUGGCCUGCCCGGGCCCUUUUAUUUAUUAUUUACGUUCUCUAGAUCCCGCUGGGGCCUUAGUGGCUCCCCUCCUGGCGCCCACAGACCUCGAGAGAAUACACCUCCGCCUCCCUGUCAGAAUUAAGGGGCUUCCUUUAAAUCCGUUCAGCAUUCAGAAUCAACAACAUGAAAAUAAACGCUGCCAGAGCACCCUGGCAGACGCUGCUCCCAGGCACGUUUGUUGUCAGAAAGCCUGCGUGUGCAAAUGUGUUAAAGUGCGACUGUGGUUGAGUGUUCAAGCGUGUGAAUCUGAGUGUGAACUAUGAUCACGUGUGGGACUGUAUGAUCGUGGUUCUAUGAUUAUGUGCGUGGUUGUUGAUGUGCAUUCGACAUCUGAAAGCAUAAAUGUGUAUAUUGAUACUUCGUAUGUUGAGGGUAGUGGCUAUAUGCCCAAGGGUUUCACUUGUCCUGAAGUGAAGAACAGCUUGCGGUUUAAAGGGGUUUCAAGCAUCCCAUGUUUGCCAGACUUUGCCAUAACAGGAGAGAGAGAGAGAGAGAGAGAGAGAGAGAGAGAGAGAGAGAGAGAGAGAGAGAGAGAUCCACUGUAGCUAGAUCUAGUAGCUUCAGGAGUGAAGGGCCAGCUAGGCACACAGGAUACCCUAAACAAUAAAUGACAUCUUAAGAUGGGGAAAGAGGCAAACAGGGUUCUAAAUGCAGAAUAGAAGAACACUAGCCAGUCAAGCUUAGAGCCCAGGAAGCAGUAGGGAAAUAACUUCCUGAGAGAAUCAGCACCGUGGACAACGCCUACCCAGUGGCUCCUGAAACUGCUUUCAGAAUUAGAACUCCUGUGGCUCUAUCUAGUCUUCCAUGGUUUUUUCUAAUGUCUUUCUUUUGCCAAAUCACUAGUCAUCUUUAGUCUGAGAGCCUCACGCUGCUGCUUCUAGGUAAUGACCUUAACAGAGUAAGUUUCCUGGAAACCUGGAUAUCCUGAUGUGGACCUGGGAAAUAUUAAACAAAUUUCAACCAGUAUGUCUGAAACAAAGACUGAAUAAUUUCCAAACA